rnacentral:lncRNA from 1 species
CCUUACUUUAAAAGAAAAAGAAAAGGAGAAGAAGAAAAAAAAUCCACUGACCAAGGCCGGGCCCCCUUGACAGCCACGGGCCCGGGUACACCAGACCCCCCUCUCCCCCCCUCUCGUCAGGCCUGGGCACCACUAGAAGCAUGAGCUUAAAGUGUGUGGUCCCCCAAUAGAACAAUUUUCCAAAUAGGCAGGUACUUAAAAUACUAGGUAUACUGCAAUAAGAAUAAUCACUGAGCUUGUGUAGUGCGACUCCCUGGCCAAAGCCUGACUCACUGCACUUAACAAACAAAAAAUGCAAAAGAAAGACGAAAAUCCUGAAUAAGGAUUAAAUGACAGCAGCACAAGAACAAGAGAGUUAGAACUAAUGAAAGGCAAAUAUGAAGCAGGAAGCAUUGAGUGCAAGCAGACAUAAUGAACUCAAAAUCAAACUGAAAUGUCAAUGAUACCUGAACAUAAAAGGCUAAAACAACAGAGCUUAUGAACCAAUGUACAGAAUGCACAUAUGAUUACUUAAGUGUUCAGUUCGUCUGAUGAAGAUACAAUCACUUAUAUAAUAGAAAGUAGGUCAUUGAUUGUUUUGUGGUAGGCUGUUCUAUAAGAUGCUAUUUUGGUAGAAAAGAAUUUCUUUUAAAAAAGUCCUUAUUCUGAGCAUAGGUCUUUUAUUUGGUCUACAUAUGUGAUAAGGAUUAUUUGUUCUUGUUAUUUGGUUCCUCUUUGUGUUUUCUGUAUUUGAUUUUAUUCUUUGUUUAGUACGGUUUAUUUUUUAUAGCUCAUAUGUUAUUUAUUUGUUUUCCUUUCCCUCAUAUGCUGUCCAUAUUUCAUUCUUGAUCUUAAAUGCUGAGCAUGCUCUUUAGGAGUGUGGGUAUGCACUUUACAAAUUUUGCAUUUAUUAUUAUUAUCAUUAAAAAUAAUCAAUGUAAAGUCCAUUUAUCAUUUUAAAAUAGAGUAUUGAUCUGUGCCUUUCUUUUAAAAUACAAAAGUCCAAUACAUUGUAUAACUUUGAAUGACUAGUCCAUUUAUAGCUCCAAUAAUAAUUCUUCAAGGUAAAGUUUUGAUUGAUGGUUUUAAGUCAGUCUGUACAGUCAUCCAAGAUGACAUCAGUGUAAUUAAAAAAAGGGUCAAACUAUUUGUGUUCAUUGGAUUCAGUGACAGACAAAAAUGGCAGCAUCCAAAUAGCACAAUAGUUUUUUUUUCUUUUAAGUAUUAUGACAAUAAAGGUAUUCCAGUUCUUUAACACUUUGAAGUUUUACUUACUGAGACCGUAGAGCUGUUUUAGGCAAGUACAUAGAGACAGUUAAUGAGGAUUGCCUUUAAAGCCUGGCACAACACCUUCCUGGCAGAUCACAGGGAGAGCACCAUCUCUGUUAUAACAAAAGAGAGGUAUUUAAAUGGUUUAGGAAAGUUUUUGAAGAGUCACAUAAUUUUGAAGUUUUGCUUUUGUAUGGUUCCCGGUUCUAAGAUUUGUCAGUGAAAAUUGUCCAUUUCCUCUUUUGAAGCAUCUUGCGUCUGUUGCUUACCUUUCUAUCAUCUUUUAUGAUUUUAUUGGUAACGGCAUCAUUCUUAGGUUGUCUCUCUUCAUACAUUUUUAGCAUCUGUCUCUGUGUGUGUCUGCGCGCGCGCACGCACAGGUUUUCAGUAUGUACAUCAAGAUUAGUGAAUGUUUACAUAAAUACUUUUAUUACAAUGCAAAUAUCAUUCAUGUGUGUGUUUUGAAAAGAUGAGCUACAUUCUGAGAUAGGUAUUGAUUCUACUAAAGUUCUAUCAGCAGAUUUAAAAAAAUUUCUAUAGUUAUUAUUUAUUCAAUGCAUGUUAUAAGCAAUGGAUAUCCUUAUUUGAUGUUUCAGGCCCGUUAUCUAAUUGAAAGUGUAUAUAAUCACAUCUGAAAUUUCAGUUUCAGAGUUCAUUGUUUCGCUGUUUGUCCUGUUCGUAUGACAAUAUGGCCGUCAAAAGAAUUUUUAAAUUGUUAAGGCUUUUCCAGCAUUAGUACUGAUUCUAAGAGAUUUUGAGGCAUUGGAAUGGAUAAGAGUUAAAGGUAAAAACUAAACAAUGGAAUUUCUCAUGCUACUCUUUUUUCAGUUUUGUCUGAUUCUAGGUUAUUAAGCCACACUGUGUUUACUGAAAUUUUUGUUUGUUUUCUGAGAAUAGUGUAUUUUUAAGAGCUUGUUAAACUCAAUUUUCUUUUAAAUUUAUCAUGAAUGUAAAUGAGUAUUUCAGCCGUCUGUCUGAACUUUCCAUGAACUUAGUGCCAUAUUUCCAAUUCUGUCUUUCAAUUAAAUAUUGUUCAAAUGUAUUGCAUUUUUUUUAAGUAAUAGUUUACAUUGUAUUGCUCAAUUGUGGAAAAGCGUACCUUUUGUCAUUACCAUUAUGCGAAAACUUUGUUAAAUAGCUAUUUUUGACUCAAGACGUGUUAUGAGUUAUGAA